CCCAGCCCCACCGGCUGUAAUGCGUUCCCUGCCCGCUAGGCAGUCAAGCUAACUUAAAAUCCCAGCCCCACCGGCUGUAAAAUCCCAGCCCCACCGGCUGUAAUGCGUUCCCUGCCCGCUAGGCAGUCAAGCUAUUGUCUUUUAAAAAGGGGGAAAACACACACUCCGGCCGUCACACACAUUCAAACAAAUACAGGAGGCAGAUAGACAAUCGACAGGUUCACUUUAAAAAGGUACCCCGGAUGAGCUAAAUACCUGUCUCUAGUAGCCUUCUGGAAGCCGGAAGUGGACUCGGAGACAGACCGACACAAAACAGGAGAAUAACACAGGCAACGGCUGUAUUAUGGAGGUGAUCAGGCU